rnacentral:rRNA from 1 species
UACGAAGGUGGCGAGCGUUGUUCGGAUUCACUGGGCAUAAAGGGCGCGUAGGCGGUUCCGUAAGCAGCGUGUGAAAUCCCUCGGCUCAACCGUGGAAUUGCGCGCUGGACUGCGGUUCUGGAGGACGGGAGGGGGGUGCGGAACGUCGUAGGUGUAGCGGUGAAAUGCGUAGAUAUCUAGAGGAACACCGGUGGCGAAAGCGACACCCGUGGCCCGU